UAUAUCUCCAUUAUUGUUUCUUAUCUUAUCUUUCCAGCUGGCAUUUUGUCUUCUUUUAUUUUAGAUGUACUUCUGGAAUAAUGUUAUCUUCUCCAUUACAUCUUGAACAUUGGUGAUCUGGGUAUUUGUGUCCAAUUAUUUUACAAUAUCUUGUCAGUAGUCCGUCUGAAAUAAAUCCUUUUUUAAUUGCUCUUGCGGUAGAUUGUUUUUCUGGGUUGAGUAAUGUCAUU
rnacentral:lncRNA from 1 species